CCUGUCUGAAAUAAGCAUCUAAAAUUACAAAAAUUGUCUCAAGAUGAACUUGGUUACACAGAUAUGCGAUCGUGGAACAGACCUAGAAGCAGAACCUCAUCCUCAAGUUCUGUAUGGAGUCAGCUAUUCCAGGUGUGGGGCACCUGUGAUUUAGUAGUCCAUGCAAGUUACACAUCCCCCAAUCCACAGAAGAGAGGGACUAACUGUUCCCAUCAGAGAGAGCAGUGAGAAACUCUGACUCACCGACUGCUGUCCCACACUGCUUCUGUGUUUGCUGUCCUUUGCUGGGAUAAUUUCCAAUGAGCGGUAACUGGGUGGCUUGUCUUCUG